AGUGAACGCUGGCGGUAGGCCUAACACAUGCAAGUCGAACGGCAGCACAGUAAGAGCUUGCUCUUACGGGUGGCGAGUGGCGGACGGGUGAGGAAUACAUCGGAAUCUACUUUUUCGUGGGGGAUAACGUAGGGAAACUUACGCUAAUACCGCAUACGACCUACGGGUGAAAGCAGGGGAUCUUCGGACCUUGCGCGAUUGAAUGAGCCGAUGUCGGAUUAGCUAGUUGGCGGGGUAAAGGCCCACCAAGGCGACGAUCCGUAGCUGGUCUGAGAGGAUGAUCAGCGACACUGGAACUGAGACACGGUCCAGACUCCUGCGGGAGGCAGCAGUGGGGAAUAUUGGGCAAUGGGCGCAAGCCUGAUCCAGCCAUACCGCGUGGGUGAAGAAGGCCUUCGGGUUGUAAAGCCCUUUUGUUGGGAAAGAAAAGCAGCAGGUUAAUACCCCGCUGUUCUGACGGUACCCAAAGAAUAAGCACCGGCUAACUUCGUG
rnacentral:rRNA from 1 species